GGACAAUGAAGUACGCAAUCAAGUUUCUUCUAAUCUUGCGGCGUUUGGUCGUCGGAGUUUCGCCAGAGAUUGAAAGGUUAUUUUGCCAAGCAAUAAUAAUAAUAAUGGCGAAGAUGAUGGUGGUAAGAUACAGUUUGGUGGAGGAGGUGGCGCCGGCGCCGGUGGUUUUCCCGAGAAAGCCGUCGCGUUCUCAUUGUCCUAAGCUGGAGACCAUCAAGGAGGAAGAUAGUAUUAAUGGAGCCCAGCUGCAAGAUAAGCUGCGCUGCACCACCAUCCUUCCUCUCAUCGUCAUAAUAUCGGUUUCAUUAGCUAUGAUAGGGGACCGGAUUCGACAAUAUCCAGGUUAAUUAAUUUAUGAAUUAUUGGAAUAAGGGUGCUUACUUCGUAGCUAGCUAGCUACU